rnacentral:rRNA from 1 species
UACGAAGGGGGCUAGCGUUGCUCGGAAUCAUUGGGCGUAAAGGGUGCGUAGGUGGCGCCGUAAGUCGGGUGUGAAAUUUCGGAGCUUAACUCCGAAACUGCAUUCGAUACUGCGGUGCUUGAGGACUGGAGAGGAGACUGGAAUUCAUGGUGUAGCAGUGAAAUGCGUAGAGAUCAUGAGGAAGACCAGUGGCGAAGGCGGCUCACUGGCCCGGUACUGACGCUGAGGUGCGAAAGCGUGGGGAGCAAACAGG